rnacentral:rRNA from 1 species
GACGAACGCUGGCGGCGCGCCUAACACAUGCAAGUCGAACGAGCGAGUGAGAGCUUGCUUUCCUGAGCGAGUGGCGGACGGGUGAGUAACGCGUGAGGAACCUGACUUAAAGAGGGGGACAACAGUUGGAAACGACUGCUAAUACCGCAUAAGCCCACGGCUAGGCAUCGAGCCGGGGGAAAAGGAGCAAUCCGCGUUGGGAUGGCACGGCAUCCGGUUAGCUAGUUGGUUAGGUAACGGCCCAACAAAGCGACGAUCGGUAGCCGGGCUGAGAGGUUGAGCCGCCACAUUGGGACUGAGACACGGCGCAGACUCCUGCGGGAGGCAGCAAUGGGUAAUAUUGCACAACGGGGGAGACCCUGAUGCAGCGCCGCCGCGAAGAGGAAUAAGGUGUGAAGAUUGUAAACUCCUGUUGUUGGGGAAGAUAAUGACGGUACCCAACAAGAAAGUGACGGCUAACUACGUG